GGGCGAGNRNCCUGAACCAGCCAAGUAGCGUGAAGAAUGACUGCCCUAUGGGUUGUAAACUUCUUUUAUAUGGGAAUAAAGUGAUCCACGUGUGGAUUUUUGUAUGUACCAUAUGAAUAAGGAUCGGCUAACUCCGUGCCAGCAGCCGCGGUAAUACGGAGGAUCCNARMRWWANCCGGAUUUAUUGGGUUUAAAGGGAGCGUAGAUGGAUGUUUAAGUCAGUUGUGAAAGUUUGCGGCUCAACCGUAAAAUUGCAGUUGAUACUGGAUAUCUUGAGUGCAGUUGAGGCAGGCGGAAUUCGUGGUGUAGCGGUGAAAUGCUUAGAUAUCACGAAGAACUCC
rnacentral:rRNA from 1 species